rnacentral:rRNA from 1 species
AUUGAACGCUGGCGGCAGGCCUAACACAUGCAAGUCGAGCGAGCGGCGGACGGGUGAGUAAUGUAUGGGGACUGCCCGAUAGCGGGGGAUAACUACUGGAAACGGUGGCUAAUACCGCAUACUACCGGAUCCCCCACACGGAAGUCGCUAGUAGGUGGUGUAACGGCUCACCUAGGCGACGAUCUCUAGCCGGUCUGAGAGGAGGAUCAGCCACACUGGAACUGAGACACGGCCCGGACUCCUACGGAGGCAGCAGUGGGGAAUAUGGCACAAUGGGCGCAAGCCUGAUGAAGCGAUGCCGCGUGGAGGAAGAAGGCCUGAGGGUUGUAAAGUACUUUCAGCGGGGAGGCGUUACCCGCAGAAGAAGCACCGGCUAACUCCGUGCCAGCAGCCGCGGUAAUAC